rnacentral:rRNA from 1 species
AGUGAACGCUGGCGGUAGGCCUAACACAUGCAAGUCGAACGGCAGCACAGUAAGAGCUUGCUCUUACGGGUGGCGAGUGGCGGACGGGUGAGGAAUACAUCGGAAUCUACUUUUUCGUGGGGGAUAACGUAGGGAAACUUACGCUAAUACCGCAUACGACCUACGGGUGAAAGCAGGGGAUCUUCGGGCCUUGCGCGAUUGAAUGAGCCGAUGUCGGAUUAGCUAGUUGGCGGGGUAAAGGCCCACCAAGGCGACGAUCCGUAGCUGGUCUGAGAGGAUGAUCAGCCACACUGGAACUGAGACACGGUCCAGACUCCUACGGGAGGCAGCAGUGGGGAAUAUUGGACAAUGGGCGCAAGCCUGAUCCAGCCAUACCGCGUGGGUGAAGAAGGCCUUCGGGUUGUAAAGCCCUUUUGUUGGGAAAGAAAAGCAGCAGGUUAAUACCCCGCUGUUCUGACGGUACCCAAAGAAUAAGCACCGGCUAAUUUCGUG